rfam:Schistocephalus solidus strain NST_G2 genome assembly, scaffold: SSLN_contig0012754
GAGCCCGUGGCUCAAUGGUAGAGCGUUCGACUCAAAUACCAAAGGUCGCGGGUUCGAAUCCCAGGUGUGCCCC